UAUAAUGUAUAUUACUAACAUUAUCGCCCUGCACUCGGAGUAUGACGAAUAUCGAGGAGAGGAAUAAAUCAUAUCCGCCACCAUAGCCCCUGGAAGAACAACGAGCGCGGCUAGCACUUUCAGGCUAAUUAGGUCAGUACUGCUGCUUGGAGAUAACACCAGAGCUAUAACUAAUGGACUUCUCCUUCAGAAUGCAUAUAGAUUUCGGCUGGAAAAGAUCAAAAGAAGCGUGGGUUAGGUAAUCUCCAAACACAAAAGGUCCAACAAUUGAAAAUCGAAGUGAGCCUGAGCCGAUUAAAUUGUCCAAAAUAAGCAAGUGUUAUGUAUGGUUUAUGAUUUGGGGAUUUCAUACAAUUGAAAAUUAAUUGGCAAUUGUUUCAAUUCAAUUUAAAACUAGUGAAGGGCUUUCUCUCUCUAGUUUCCAGAGAAAGCUUUUUCUCUGAUUCCCUAUAUCUUUUUGUUUGAGCUUUUAGAAAUCAGGCUCCCUUUAGGUGGAGGGAGUGUCCUUCCUGGAAUGUGUGUUCCCUCUUAAAUCUUUGGAUGGUGUGUAAUUUUAUUUUGGCGGUGGUCGGAGCAAAUCUAGCAGAUUCUUUGAGAGGC
rnacentral:lncRNA from 1 species